UCUAGGGAAAAAGCUCGCACAGAUUAUUUCCAUAGAUUUGUCCAUCUGUUUGUUUGGAAGCCCAUCAUCCGACUGAUAUUCGUCCAGGGGAAGCCUUUUUCCGGUUGGAAACAGCCCUGGCCUCUUCCGACCAGCUACCCGCGACCGCAACUCUAGCCUCUAGAGCUCUCCCCUAGCGACGCCAAUCCUAGCCUCAGGAGCUCUUCCCUGAGACCCGGCUCCAUCGUCUUCUGUGACAUCGUCCCCUUCUCCUCGAUAAGAGUGCAAAGUGGAAGCAAUGCAUGAAGUCGACAUGAAGAAGAAAAAUGCAACGAACUGUAUCUAGUGCAGUUUAAUUGGUGUUACUUGAUGUUGGUGUUUCGUUGCAUUACAGUUUUAUGUUAUAUUGACUAUCUGUUUGCGUGAAUGGAGAUGACAUUGAUGGAUGGAUUAGCUUCGUUACAUAUUAGAUGGUAUUCAAAUUAAACUUUGUGUGAAUCAUAUUUGUUUGUGUGAAUGGAGACCAAUCUGUUUCUGUGAUGUUUCA